UGCCAGCCGCCGCGGUAAUACGGGAGGUCCUAGCGUUGUUCGGAAUUACUGGGCGUAAAGAGUAUGUAGGCGGAAUAGAAAGUUAGAAGUGAAAUCCCUGGGCUCAACCUAGGAAUUGCUUUUAAAACUCCUAUUCUAGAAUUCAGGAGAGGAUAGUGGAAUUUCCAGUGUAGAGGUGAAAUUCGUAGAUAUUUGGAGGAACACCAGUGGCGAAGGCGGCUCACUGGCUCGAUACUGACGCUGAGGUACGAAAGUGUGGGGAGCAAACAGGAUUAGAUA
rnacentral:rRNA from 1 species